rnacentral:lncRNA from 1 species
CCUCCAUCUGCUGGGGGUGCGGCCCUAGGAAAGACAAAAAGACCAAAUAAUAAUAAUAAUAAAAAUAAUAAUAAUAAAUUUAGACUUAAUAGAGUUCCUGUCAUGGCUCAGUGGAAAGGAAUCCAACUAGGAACCAUGAGGUUGCAGGUUUGAUCCCUGGCCUCGCUCAGUGGGUUAAGGAUCCGGCGUUGCGGUGGGCUGUGAUGUAGGUUGCAGACGGGGCUCAGAUCUGGUGUUGCUGUGGCCGCGGCAGCACAGGCCAGCAGCUGGAACUCCGAUUCAUUCCCUAGCCUGGGAACCUCCAUAUGCAGUGGUUGUGGCCCUAAAAAGCCAAAAAAAAAAAAAAAAAAUUUAGGCUUAAAAAAUUGUUUUGGAAUUCCAAUCUGAGUAGGCUUCAGACAGAAUAGAGAUUUAUAGAAGAUUUCAGCUCAACAUGAAGGCAAAUGUUACCCCCUGUUACUAGAAUUAUUUAAGGCAGAGACUAAACAUGCACUUAAGGUAGGGAAUUAAUAAAUCAGAAAAAACAUUGAAUUGUUAUUACUUUGAAAAUUCUUUUCAACUCAUAAUUUCUUAGGAAUAAUACUUAGCACUUUUGUAUUUAAGUCUUCUGUUAAUUUACCAGGUUGGAUAAAGAAGUGUGAUUUCAAUUUUUCUAGUAUUAUUUUGAAAAAAGAAAAAAAUUUAUCACUUCCUCUCACCCCUUGCUAUUGCAAAACAACGUAAGAUCCAGUUUUCAAAUUUUCAUGAGCUUUACUAUUCAAAUGAAUUAGUUAAGAUAGUUUUCAUGAAAUUUGCCCUGAAAAUUUAAUUCUAACUUUUAUCAUUUUCAUAAGAAAUUUUUCACUUUUAAUCACUUUUCAGAAAGGCUUAUGAAGUUUAGUGUUAAUAUUGCUGUUUCAAAAGUACCUUCUACAUGUUUAUUUGGAAAGACAUAAGUGAUAGCAUGGUAAAUUGCGAAACCAAAUUAUCAGAUAUUAUCAAAUAAAUUUUUCUUUAUAAAAAUCCAGACUAAAUUCUGUUUAAAGGUUGAGGCAAUAAAGUAAUAUUUUCACUUUUCAUUUUUUUUCUUGCACUCUAAUUUAAGAUAGAAAGAAACCACAUAGUUUGAUAAUGUCAUCCCAAAUAAUCUGUGUUAGAGAUCAGGUUUCCAGGUAAGUUGACUACUGUUGCAGAGAAAUGCAUAAUUCUCUCUUAGAGAGUUUUAAGUCUUUGCCGAAGGCAGGAGGGUAGCUGUGGCAAUAACAUCUAAAUUCAGGGAUCUAGUGUGAACCAAUAUGAAACUCAGUUCUCACUCAAAGUCUACUUUUUUCUUGUCACUUCUGUCAUUUGUGCUUUCUGUGAUAUUGCAACAUUUCCAAAUGUCAAAUGGACAAAUAACAAUACCUUUAAGAGAUCUGAGUAUGUUGAAAUAUAUUACAACAAAGUCUGUAAACUAUAUUACACAUUUCUAAAUAUUUAGCUAAGUAAACUUUUCUCCUUCAGAAAUUGUGUGUGUGUGUGUGUGUGUGUGUGUGUAAAACUAUAAAGCCCAGGUCUUUUUGCAUCCCCUUCCAUGCCCUGGAACAGUAAUGUCAAAUUGGUUUCAUCUUGUUUGUUACAGUAAUUGAUUGGCUGCCCUAAAGUGCUAUGCUGAAAAUUUGAAAUCUGCAUCUAGAGGGAAAAAGAGAACAACAUUUAAGCCGAGUAUUUGCUAUUUGUCAUCUUUGCUCUAGAGCUACAAAACUCUCAUUGUAGUUCUGAAAAUUCCAAGCUUAGCCAGACAGCCGGCUCUUGGAGCACAAAUGAUCAUGUGACUCAGCUAGGAAUAUUGCUCUUCUAAUACUUCCAAGAGAUUGUUUUAAUCCAAUGGUCCCUCCUUUAAAACAGCAGAGAAUCUCUACUGUGCUUCUGAAGAACUCCAAGAACCAUUACCAUGCUGAUGUCAUCAGAGAUAUCCUUCAGCAUUAAACUCUAUACUUGCCUUUAAAAAAUUCCAACCUCCAUUAAAAUGACAACAGUUUCUCCUUUUAAAAUCUAGCCCUGUCAUUCUCAGACAUCAGUUUACAUAGCAAUUAAAAAUGCAGCCUCUUGUCCCUAUCCCCAGAGAUUCUGAUUUUGUUGGUCCAGAGUAAAGUUUGAAAUUGGCUUUUUAAUCUUUCCUAGUCUGAUACAUAUGGUCUGGAGGCCAUUCUUUGUCGUAGAUUUAGACUUGCAUCCUUCCUUCCAUAUCAUUUUUUUCCAGCUGUAAUUGCUUAAAUUUUAAUACUGUCAGCCAUAACACCUCGGGAAGAUAAUUUUUUGAUUAUGCUAUCAACUAGUAUCUGCAACAAGUAGUAAAUGCAAAGAGGCUGAAUACACAAAUCCAAGUAUUUAAGAUGUUGUGCAAUCAUAAUUGUUAGCUUUCUGGGCAGUGGUCUCUAGGAAUGCCAGUUUGCCCCCACUUCCCAAGUUCAAAUUCAAGCUACUUGACAUAAAACCGCCAGUUGCAUUCUCCCCACAUUUCACAACCAAAACAUUCUGAGCUUUUCCAACCCGAAUCAAGUCCAUAGGUUGUCUUUUGCCUUCUCAAAAGUUUACCCGCGAAGUCUUGAAUGACUUUUCUCGACAUGUUUUUUUUCUCAGAUAUAACUUACAGUUUAUUAGUAGGAGAGAAAUAGGUCCUUAACCAGUCUGAAUGCCCCACUUCUGAUCUUGUUUAGCUCUUUUUUCUUAUGUUUAAAAAAGCACAUAAAAAUAUACUAUUUUGGAGUUCCCGUCAUGGCGCAUUGGAUUCUUUUCUGCUGUGCCACAACAGGAAUUCCCUGGAUGUUAUUUUCAAAAUCAUUGACAAUUGAGGAAAAAAAAUCAACCCAAGGAACAUUUUUAAAACUCUUCUUUUUCCAGUCUUCCCUCAAAACAUUUAUCUCGCUCUGUUAUUAAUUUUUGCAAUAAAUCAAUAAAGUUUGCAAUCCUAUAAGCAGUGUCCAUCUAAAUAACCAGAAAGGCUACAACUAUGAUUGUUAGGCUUAUGAUCUUGACAUUAAAAAAAAAAAAAACCCUGCCUUUUCUUGGGUUAAGUUGUCUUGAAACUAACACAAAAGUUAGUUGAUCAUGAUUCUUGGAUAACGAUAACUGAACCUUCAUUUUAUGAAUUUAACAAUUCAUAGUAUCCAUGUAUUCUUAUGAAUUUUUCAGGCAAAUACAGUUUACUUAGCGCAUUUUAAGUAACUUGAUAGUUUUCGUAGCAACAUAUUAAAAAUAUUUACCUCAAAGAAAAUUCUUUAAAAUUGAAGUUCAUUACUUCUUUGAUUUCCAUUAUAAAAUCAAAAAUGUUUUCUCAGCAAGGGGAAAAAUUUUUUUUGAGUUGAAAAGAUUUGGUGAAAGAGUUGAGGUGCAUCUGGUUCAGUAACAUACUAAGCAUUUUUUUUCUUUGCAGUGCUCCCAUCCCUACUUAUGACCUUUCUCCAUUGCCCUCCAUUAUCACCCCUAAAUCACAGAACUUCAUUUAGUGUUAUGCAGUCCUCAGGGCAAAUGCUGCCAACAGCCUUGAACUAGACCUGUCCUCUCUUUGUAGUCUCUAACAUAAGCUAGGCAUUCAUAUUUUGCCAGUGGGAAUUUUUAAUGUAGUAAACUUCAGUCUGAAAAUUCCCCAAGUUCUUAUCCCUUUUUUUUUUUACAAUUAUUUACCACUUUAUCAGUUAUAGUAUUAAAUUUAUUUAGAGUAAGGAAUGCCUGUUUGAUUUAUAACUGAAGCUAGUUUGCAUUAUUUUUCUUCAGUCAUUAAACUGUACUCCUACUUAAGGGAACUUUUGAGUCAUUAGGCAACUAUGAGCAACUUGGUUUGUUAAUCACCAUUUACUGUUUGAUUCAUUUUUUGAAAAGGACCCAAAUAUUACAUUUAAUGACAUACCAAACUUGGAUUCAAGCAGUAUCUUCCAUUAGGUGAUUUGCUUCUGACCUGAGACACAUUACGUAAGAUCUACUCUUUCAUGAACAUUUUUUGUUUUAUGUGGUAAAAAAUUAACAGGUAAACACAAAAUUUGAUUCUUAAAUUAGAUUUUUAAGAGUUCCCUGUGGUGCAGAGGGUUAAGAAUCCGAGUAGCCACUGCAGCAGCUCAGGUUCCUGCUGUGGUUCGGUUCAGUCCCUGGCCCAGGAACUUCUACAUGCUGUAUGCAUAGCAAACACACACACACAAACACACACACACAUUUGAUAAUUCUAUUCUGAGACAAUUUUAAUAAUUGCAUUCUAAUUGCUUUUAAUAAUUUUGUUACAAAAAACUAUAAAAUGAGUGUGAAUGCCAAAUUACACAUUUCAUUUCAUGGAAAUGAAAGUGAUGGUUUGUGCUAUAAUUUAUAAAGUCAAAAAGUUUGAAUUGUGUAUUAUUUGGACUAUUGUUUUAAGCAUUCAUGGAAUUUAAAGACCUGUAAGGUCUUGCCUUUGCCCUCCUGGUGUGCUGCAGGGUAUUGUAGAGGUUAGGGUUGCCAUGUUGUGUGUUAUCGUUCAGACAUUCUGGCUCUGUGCCUUUUAGGUAGGCUUGGGCAGGUCAUUUCACCGCAGUGGACGCCAGCUUAUUUAUCCAUCAGUAUGGGCUUUGGAUCAGAAGAACCUUUCCAUUUCUCUAUCCCUGGAGUCUGUGAAACUUCUAAAGUUACUUUCAACUUCCUUCUGUGGCCUUUUCUCAUUUUUCUCCAGAUUCUCUGUUUCAUUUGACAUUAAGUGACCAUCCUUUCCUUCUUGGCAUCCUUCAUUUUUAGUUACAGUUGCUUUAGUAAUGUGUUUCAGUGUCCUGUUUCUCUGUCCCAUUUGCCUGGUCCCCUUUUUUAUCCUGUCACUUAAUUGUGUGUGUGCGUGCGUCUGUGUGUGUGUAUCAAUUAGUAAAACUUGUAUUUUGGGCCUAUACAUCAGAAGCUUUAAAUAGGCAAUUCUUCCUGUUCCAAAAAGUUUUUUUAAGACACAGCCUAAAACGUGCUCUUAAAUAUAUUUGAUAACUUAAACUUACUUUUCCAUGUAAAAACCCUAUCUACUUGAAUUUGUUUCAAACCAGAGACUGUUUUUCUUCCUCUUCAUCUAUUCUCCUCUACACCUAGCACUGGGCUGACGACUCAGAUCAUCCACUUAAUCACAAGUGUUCCUGUUCCUGUUUUGCCUUUGAAAUCUUGUUGUUUUAAGAUCAUGGUAUUUAACAGGCAAAUCAAAAUGGCGACAAAUGGAAAUGAAAGUGAUGGUUUAAAAACCUGGAAAGAAAUACAAUUUCAUUUUUUUUCCCAAAGAUUGACUCACAAAUUGAGGCGCAAUAGAAUAUGGGAUCUUUUUGUUUGCUCCUCAUCUAAAUUUUACUUCAGAAAUAUAUUUUCCGGAGUUCCCGUCGUGGCGCAGUGGUUAACGAAUCCAACUAGGAACCAUGAGGUUGCGGGUUCGGUCCCUGCCCUUGCUCAGUGGGUUAACGAUCCGGCGUUGCCGUGAGCUGUGGUGUAGGUG